ACACACAUACACACACACAUACACACAUACAAACCCAGAUGAUUACAUAACCUCCUGGCGGAGUUAAUAAAAAUAUCAUUAUGGAUUAGCGCACAAGCUUCCGCUUGCGCUUCCGUAUAUAUCUGGUAUGGAAACGCGAAAAAUGUUUUCAGUAUUUUUUAAAUAGUGCACAAUGUAAAGAAUGCAAUACAAUUAUAAUACGUUUAUUGUUUAUUGUGUUCUGUAUGUAAUAACACAACAGGAAUAACCCACAAAGUCCUAUAUAACAAUCUAGACACAAACAAUGAACCAUUAUGUACUGUUUAACAAACGAGCAGGAAUGUUUGCGCGAGUGGCUUUAAACCUAAUGAAACACGACCUGUGAGUUUAUUAAACGACUUCAAACACGACUACAAAUUCAAUAGAUAUACUGCCUUAUUAGUAUUCUUUAUAUAAAGAAUACUAAUGAGGACACGACUACAAUAGAUACUGCCUUAUUAGUAUUCUUUAUAUAAAGAAUACUAAUUAGGAG